rnacentral:tRNA from 1 species
CCUUCGUAGCUCAGUUGGUAGAGCGGAGGACUCUAGGUUGAUAAUAAAAGGUAUCCUUAGGUCGCUGCUUCAAUUCUGGCUCGAAAGA